rnacentral:rRNA from 1 species
UACGUAGGGGGCAAGCGUUGUUCGGAAUUACUGGGCGUAAAGGGCGCGUAGGCGGCCUUCUAAGUCAGACGUGAAAUCCCUCGGCUCAACCGGGGAACUGCGUCUGAGACUGGAAGGCUUGAAUCCGGGAGAGGGAUGUGGAAUUCCAGGUGUAGCGGUGAAAUGCGUAGAUAUCUGGAGGAACACCGGUGGCGAAGGCGGCAUCCUGGACCGGUAUUGACGCUGAGGAGCGAAAGCCAGGGGAGCAAACGGG